GGGACGACGCUGGCGGCGUACCUAAACACAUGCAAGUCGAACGGGGUCCACGAAAGCUUGCUUCCUGACGACCUAGUGGCGAACCGGGUGAGUAACACGUGAGAAACCUGCCUCGGAGUGGGGAAUAACUCGGGGAAACUCGAGCUAAUACCGCAUACCUUCAGAUGAUCGCAUGGUCGACUGAAGAAAGAAUUUCGCUCUGAGAGGGUCUCGCGGCCUAUCAGCUUGUUGGUGGGGUAACGGCCUACCAAGGCAACGACGGGUAGCUGGUUUGAGAGAACGAUCAGCCACACUGGGACUGAGACACGGCCCAGACUCCUACGGGAGGCAGCAGUGGGGAAUCUUGCGCAAUGGGCGAAAGCCUGACGCAGCAACGCCGCGUGCGGGAUGACGGCCUUCGUGGUUGUAAACCGCUUUCAGCAGGGACGAAAUUGACGGUACCUGCAGAAGAAGCCCCGGCUAACUACGUGCCAGCAGCCGCGGUAAUACGUAGGGGGCGAGCGUUGUCCGGAAUCAUUGGGCGUAAAGAGCUCGUAGGCGGUUCAGUAAGUCGGGUGUGAAAGCUCCGAGCUCAACUCGGAGAGGCCACUCGAUACUGCUGUGACUAGAAUCCAGUAGGGGAGUGUGGAACUCCUGGUGUAGCGGUGAAAUGCGCAGAUAUCAGGAAGAACACCAGCGGCGAAGGCGGCACUCUGGGCUGGUAUUGACGCUGAGGAGCGAAAGUGUGGGUAGCAAACAGGAUUAGAUACCCUGGUAGUCCACACCGUAAACGUUGGGCACUAGGUGUGGGGAGGAUCAACCCUUUCCGUGCCGUAGCUAACG
rnacentral:rRNA from 1 species